UAGGGAAUCUUCCACAAUGGGCGCAAGCCUGAUGGAGCAACACCGCGUGAGUGAAGAAGGGUUUCGGCUCGUAAAGCUCUGUUGUUGGAGAAGAACGUGCGUGAGAGUAACUGUUCACGCAGUGACGGUAUCCAACCAGAAAGUCACGGCUAACUACGUGCCAGCAGCCGCGGUAAUACGUAGGUGGCAAGCGUUAUCCGGAUUUAUUGGGCGUAAAGCGAGCGCAGGCGGUUGCUUAGGUCUGAUGUGAAAGCCUUCGGCUUAACCGAAGAAGUGCAUCGGAAACCGGGCGACUUGAGUGCAGAAGAGGACAGUGGAACUCCAUGUGUAGCGGUGGAAUGCGUAGAUAUAUGGAAGAACACCAGUGGCGAAGGCGGCUGUCUGGUCUGCAACUGACGCUGAGGCUCGAAAGCAUGGGUAGCGAACA
rnacentral:rRNA from 4 species